AUUGAACGCUGGCGGCAUGCUUUACACAUGCAAGUCGAACGGUAACAGGCCGCAAGGUGCUGACGAGUGGCGGACGGGCGAGUAAUGCAUCGGAACGUGACCAGUCGUGGGGGAUAACUUAUCGAAAGAGUAGCUAAUACAGCAUACGAUCUAUGGAUGAGAGCGGGGGACGGUAAGGGCUCGUGCGAUUGGAGGGGGCGAUGUUCGAGUCGGUAGUUGGUGGGGUAAAGGCUCACCAAGCCCAAGACUUGUAGCGGGUCUGGGAGGACGACGGGCCACACGGGGACGGAGACACGGCCCAUACUCCUACGGGAGGCAGCAGUGGGGAAUGUUGGACAAUGGGCGCAAGCCUGAUCCAGCAAUGCCGCGUGCAGGAAGAAGGCCUUCGGGUUGUAAACUGCUUUUGUACGGAACGAAACGGCUCUGGUUAAUACCCGGCGCUAAUGACGGUACCGUAAGAAUAAGCACCGGCUAACUACGUG
rnacentral:rRNA from 1 species